rnacentral:rRNA from 1 species
UACGGGGGGGGCAAGCGUUGUUCGGAAUUACUGGGCGUAAAGGGCGCGUAGGCGGCCUGCUAAGUCGGAUGUGAAAUCCCUCGGCUCAACCGAGGAACUGCAGUCGAUACGAGCAAACUAGAGUGUUGCAGGGGAGACUGGAAUUCCUGGUGUAGCGGUGAAAUGCGCAGAUAUCAGGAGGAACACCGGUGGCGAAGGCGGGUCUCUGGGCAACAACUGACGCUGAGGAGCGAAAGCGUGGGGAGCGAACAGG